GAAAGCUAAACUUAGUUAAAUUGUGCCCUACAAAUAGACAUGUCAUUGAAAGUUACAAGAUAACUGCCAUAUUGUUGUUGUAAAACACUGUAGAAAGUUAUCUGAAGGCUCUCCAUGUAAAAUUAUUUCAUUGUAACAGUUCUGCGGAUGAUGUGUCUAUCAAUUCAAAAUCAUGUCGUUUGAGACUAUGGGUGGCCCUUGAUUGAGUGGAAUGGUGGAACAGGAUUCAUGUAGCCAACCCUAGUUAAUUGGGAUGAGGCUUCGUCAUUUGAGAUCAUGGAUUAUUGUAAUCACGUAAUUUCUUUGCUAUGUCUCUAAGCAUUCCUAUACAUGGAUACCAGCAUCUGCUAGCAUAUCUAGCUAUUCAAGAAUUUGGCUCGAACCAAGAGGCUUAAUGGGUAGUUGCCACUUCAGUUUUUGAUGGUUUGCUUUUCAAUUUUUACAGGGACGUUGUCACAGGCCGUGUUGAACAAGGGACUAUUAAAGUUGGAGAAGAUGUAGAGAUUUUAGGUUUAAUGCAGGGUGGUCCUCUGAAGACUAUGUUACUGGUGUAAAGAUGUUCAAGAAGAUUUUGGAUCAUGGACAAGCUGGUGAUAAUGUGGGGCUUCUUCUAUGUGGUUUAAAACGGGGUGACGUACAGCGAGGACAAGUGAGCAGUGCCACCCAGGCCUCUUUUUGACAAAAAUAAAACAAAAAAUAAUAAUAAUAAUAAAAGAAGGCUCCAAUCUAAAGCAGAUUGAUGUUGGUCUUCUUUUUUAUGGGGGAAACUAUGGCCUGAAUUUAUCAAAAUGGGGUUACUCUAUGUUGUUAUUUGCUCUGCACUUUAAGGUCUUUUGGUAAUGCCAUAUGUAAAUAGCUCAAGAAAUGACAUCAACAAUUUUGUUA